GGCAGCAGUAAGGAAUAUUGGUCAAUGGGGGCAACCCUGAACCAGCCAUGCCGCGUGCAGGACGACUGCCCUAUGGGUUGUAAACUGCUUUUGUUAGGGAAUAAACCCCACUACGUGUAGUGGGCUGAAUGUACCUAAAGAAUAAGGAUCGGCUAACUCCGUGCCAGCAGCCGCG
rnacentral:rRNA from 1 species